rnacentral:tRNA from 1 species
GCGCCGGUGGUGUAGAGGCGUAGAGCAUUCCCGCCCGGUCAGAGGGAGGUGCGGGUUCGAGUCCCGCCUGGCGCU